CAAACAAACAGAAGAAAAAGGGAAGGGCUUUUCAUAGAAAAUUCUUGAUCUACAAAGAUCUAACUGUCCAAACUUAAAUCUGACUCUGGCAACGUGAUCUACGAAGCCCGAUCUACAUUUUCACCGAUCGUUUUGAAGUAAUGGGUUACUUGGAACUUACUUGAAGCUACCCAAACCAUGGGUUUUGGUUUGGUGAAAUUCUUUUGUGGCGCAUUGCAAGGUGGUGUGUAGGAGACCUAAUACUUAAUAUCCGCGCAGCCAAGACAUUGAUGCUUUGGUUGCAGGUUCUGCGGAUAUAGAUAUUGACUCGUCCACCUAGCAUAUGGGAUGCUAUGAUUGGAGCACAUCACGAUAGUCAUAAGUCGCGGACUCAUAGGUAGUUCGCAUUUGGGUAUUUUAUUUAUGGCUCAUGUUCUACGUGUUAUAUGUAUUUGUUGAGCCUGUAUUUUAGUAUGUAAUUAAUGUAAUGUGUUUUAUAAUC